rnacentral:rRNA from 1 species
ACUCCUACGGGAGGCAGCAGUGGGGAAUAUUGCACAAUGGGCGCAAGCCUGAUGCAGCCAUGCCGCGUGUGUGAAGAAGGCCUUCGGGUUGUAAAGCACUUUCAGUCGUGAGGAAGGUAGUGUAGUUAAUAGCUGCAUUAUUUGACGUUAGCGACAGAAGAAGCACCGGCUAACUCCGUGCCAGCAGCCGCGGUAAUACGGAGGGUGCGAGCGUUAAUCGGAAUUACUGGGCGUAAAGCGCAUGCAGGUGGUUUGUUAAGUCAGAUGUGAAAGCCCGGGGCUCAACCUCGGAACUGCAUUUGAAACUGGCAGGCUAGAGUACUGUAGAGGGGGGUAGAAUUUCAGGUGUAGCGGUGAAAUGCGUAGAGAUCUGAAGGAAUACCGGUGGCGAAGGCGGCCCCCUGGACAGAUACUGACACUCAGAUGCGAAAGCGUGGGGAGCAAACAGGAUUAGAUACCCUGGUAGCGUCGUC